rnacentral:lncRNA from 1 species
UUUCAUCAAUAACUUACUUUAGCAGGUUCUAGGAAAAAGAUGUUAGUGAGAUAGGAGGAAGUUGCAAGGCUACAAAGUCGAUUUCUUGUGUCUUAACUGUUCCAUCUUUCAUUCCACUUUAAUGAACCAAAACUCUUUGAACAAUAAUUUGUGGAGCUUUUGCAAGCUAUAUAUGGUCAAAUGUUCUUUUCAGACAUAUGGCCAAUAUCAAGUACAUAUAGCAAUUGAAGGUUGAGCUCCCAAUGUGAAACUAUUUCCUGGACAGAAAUAUGUUCUGGGUUUGAAAGAUAGGUCUGUAUCUGCUUAUUUGAAAUGGGGAAGAUCACAUUAUUAACCAGAAACAUGAAGACAUGACUUUGUGGUCAGGGCUCGUGAUUUCUUCGGUUCCUUGAUCAUUUGAGAAUUUCAAGUAGAUUAGUGAAGGCAUAGCUUACCAAAUGAAUGUACGGUCGUUGCAUCUAAGAUUGCCUGUUAUUUUCAUGACAAUUGGUGCAACAAGGCAGAUCUCAGCUGUCUGAAAAACCAUGCUAACAAAAACAACCCAUCUGCUGACCUAUAGGUUCACCAUUGAACUUGACAUGAUUGUUGUUAGGUUGGGGUCUGCCAUGAAUAAAAAUAUGGAAAAAAAAAAGUUGAGCAUCAAAUUCUCAGCGAUCCAUUAUUUUGGUGUAUAAAAGGAAAAUGUCAAUUGAGAUUACUGGGGUGGUGUUGACUUUAGCCGGAUGAGCAAUUUCGACCACAGACCUAUUUCCAAGCAUGGCAGACUGCCGGUUGACAGCUACUACAUGUGAGCAAUGGUGACUUUAGAUCACCAGAGUUAGGCAGUGGAGAGGCAAACAGCAAUAAGGGGCAAGUUUUCACAGCCUGAUCUUGGCCAAUCAGAAUUUAGGUAGUGAGACAAUAGGGAGAGAGAGAGAGAGAGAGAGAGAGAGAGAGAGAGAGAGAGAGAGGCAGCUAACACUUAUAUAUGCAUAAUUUUGCAUUUAAUUGCAUGAAAACCUUGGUAGCAUGUAGACCUUAUAGCUUUUAUUAUAAUUUAUAUCUAGAGAGAGAGAGAGAGAGAGAGGCAGCUAACACUUAUAUACACAUAAUUUUGCAUUUAAUUGCAUGAAAACCUUGGUAACAUGUAGACCUUAUAGCUUUUAUUAUAAUUUAUAUCUAGAGAGAGAGAGAGAGAGAGAGAGAGAGAGAGAGGCAGCUAACACAUAUUUACGCAUAACUUUGCAUUUAAUUGCAUGAAAACCUUGGUAGCAUGUAGACCUUAUAGCUUUUAUUAUAAUUUAUAUCUAUACUGUCUGAUCAUCCUACUUUCCAGAUUUCGUGCUCAGUCUUCCAUGAAGAGAAACAAAGAACCUAAGUUAUUUUCUUUUUAUGAUUAUGAAAAAAAUUGUUAUUCUCCUGAUCAGUACUUUCGAAUGUGACCUUUUGUAUUCUAUUGGUCAUUCUUAAUUAAUUGGUAUUACUUCCAGAGUGAGUAUGGUCUAAUUCAAAGUCAUACAUGAAGUAUCAACAUUUUCAUCUACUGAUCUUUGCCUGAGUUAGAUUUCAGUACUGCAGCAUAAAGGAGAACAUCCACUUGCACAUUCAUCUUCUUUUCCCAUAAAACAGCCGAAAUCAACCUUCUUUUACUCACCUCUUUUUUAUCUCUUUGGAUAUCCUUUGUAGAUUUAUGAGGUGAUCAUCUUAAGAUUUGCAAGUUUUAGCUUGCUUGCUUCCCCCUAAUGGGUAAAAUUUCUUUCAGAAGCUUUUAAGUAACUUUUUUGUUCAAAUGUAAAAUACUGAAGAUGCUUGUGCCUUUUAUUGGCAAUGUAACAUGCGUAAUGAACAGUUUGGCUUUCAAUACGAGUAAAAAGUUGUUUCCUGUAAAUUCACAAGGUU